ACGCCUUUCCGUUUGGUACAGCAGUAAAAGCAUCUUUACUUGUUGAUGACGCCCACCAUGCCUAUCAGGACUUUAUAUAUAAUAACUUUAACUGGGCUGUCUUGGAAAACGCUCUGAAGUGGAGACUCCUUGAAUGGACAGAGGGACACCCAAAAUUUGAUACAGCAGUGAGAGCGAUAGCGACACUACGAUCACAUGGAUUGCAUGUCAGGGGACUUAACUUAUUUUGGGCGGUAGAUGGACAUUCACCAAAGUGGUUAGCAGGAAAGUCCCACUCAGAAUUUAUCAAUGAAAUGAAAAGGCACAUCAAUGACGUUGUGUCGCACACGAAUGGGACUUAAGAUCACUGGGAUGUUUAUAAUGAAGCUUUACAUGGACGCUACUUUGAGGAACACACUGGCGACCCAGAUAUCAUCCAAAAAAUGUUCAACUGGCUUCAUGUCGCUCAGCCACAAACAAAGCUAUUCCUGAAUGACUACAACAUUGUGAAUUCAAAUCUUUAUACAACGGCUCUGAAAAACCAGGGACUACAGCUAAUCAAAGACAGAGUUCCAUUGCAUGGGAUUGGUAUUCAGAGUCAUAUUAAGAACUCUCAGAUAAAUCUUGAUGUA